GCACUUUAUUGUUAGGUAAAAGACAAAAGAGAAGUCCGAGUCUAAACUUUAAACAAAGUACAACCAGAGACGAAACGGUUUGCGGAGAGUCAGUACUUGAUACGUGUCAUUUCCUGAUUCGGUGCGAUCAUAUCGAAGUGGGAGUCUUGGCAAAUCAAAUCCACCUCUGUGUUUGUUUUCUAAUUCUGAUUUGGAAUCGACUCAAAUCAAUUCAAUUCCAGUGGCUAAGUAUUUGCCUCCGUACAAAAAUUUGAUCUUGCCUAUUUUUCUGAUGUAUGACUAGAGCCGGCCACCCGCAGGCAGCCCGAGCUCGGCUCGUAUGACAAAGGGGCUCGCUGGUUUUUGUUUGUUUUUUUGUUGAGGCCCAAUUCUUGAUACUUUUGACAUUGAAUAUGUUGGUUCAUCUGUAAUGGAAAUUUGUACAUGGAUUUGUUGGAACCAACUGAUAUGAUCUCUAGCUUGUUUAAGCUUUGACAUUGAACAUUCAUUCACAAAGCAAUAUUACAUGCCUUUCUAGAUAUCUGCUCAAUCCCAGUGGCUUUUUAUGCAGUUAGAAGCAUUUUGGAGUGCCGUAUACUGGCUAAGUUAUCAUAUUGAUCUCCAUCAUUAAUUAUUGUCAGGAUCUGAUUCAUAGAAGCCGGAUUUUUCCUUUUAUCAAGAUGGGUCGGUGUGCAGCAUUUUGGAGUGCUUUAUCCAGGCUAAUUUGUUUCUCGAUUGAUAGUGGAGCUAAAGGAAAUAUGGGUAACACAAGCAGUGACUCAAAACCAAGUAGUCAGUCUGAUGCAAAAGAGCUUAAUGCGCCCUCUGAACAAAAAGUUAUAACAAUGAAAGAUUACAUUCUACAGAAAGCUAAGCCAUUUACCAACGAUUGGCCUAUGUACAAUGAUCCCACCAUCUGGGGCGUACUAACUGCUAUCACCGAAAGUGCAAUUAAUGGCAGAAAAUACCAGGGAUGCCAGGGACACUGUAUUAUCUUGAAGAUGGCUGAGCAUUGCAUUGGCCUAGUAUUGAAGGAAAUGUUCAAAUUUCCAUAGGAGAUGGUCAACGAAGACUAUGGAAUAUAUCUUAGCAGAGUUGAUGGUGAAGAAGCAAAGCAUCUCGGGAGCUAUUAUCCACCUGUCUUCUUGUGCGACACUAGCGCUUGUGACACAUAUGUCAAUUGGCAAAAGUUGACCAAAGGAGAACCUGUUCGAAUUUAUCACGGAGAUAUCAUAUCUUUUUUUUAAAGCUCUUGAUCAUGGUAAUAUAAGUACUUCUUCUCCUCCACCAAAAAACAUAAAGGAAAAAAAAAUGUUUUCCUUGGCAGAACUUAUUUCCUCUUCAUUGUUGAGGUUUUAACUUCUAAUGCUACAACUGUUGAUCAAUUUUUCUGCUUCUAUUUUAAUUGAGUGGCAUUUUGAUGGAUUAUUGUGUGUGUUUGGGGUGAGCGGUAGCGGACUCAUAUCAUCCCCUUUCUUUGCCUAGUUCUUUUUAUUUUCCUUUUUUACCUUGACGUCAAAUCAAGUUAUAUUUCGUUUAUGUCAUUUGGCAUCUAUUUCUAUUGUUCAGUGUAUGAUAGUAAUAUUAAAAUGUUUUCUUAUAUGAAUCUAAUGAGUUUUGACCAUCAAAAUGAGAAAGAAUUUCAUAUAUGAAUAGCCAUUUCAAAACACAAUAUCUUGUUAGAACAUAUUGUUCACUAAUAUCCCUGUCGAUGUAACAUUACAGAAGGUUGGGGAUUAUUUCAAAACCAAGUCGUAACAACUUGUUGGUGGAAUGUACAUCUCAUACAGUCUUGUCUGUGGUUAUACGCACAACUUGUGAUUUCGAAAAGAAAAGCGAUUAGAUAUUGUGGUUAUUGUUAUGAUCUUGAAGCUGUUAAGAGUUUAUAUAUCUCAUGUUAAGAUAAUAGAAAAUAACUUUUGAUAUCUUUGAUGUGUUUCCAGUUGAUGCAGUUGGAUAUGAAUAUCAAAUAGCAAGUAGGUCCGGUCCUUGGCAAGAAGGUCCCGUAGCAACAAGCCAUGACCAAUUUGAAAUAGUGCUCAAGAAAUUUGCGGAGAUGAAGAAAUUAUUGUGUGUAAAAGAGCGUGCAGAGCUCAAGACUGAACUUAGGACCGAACUCAAGGCUGAAGUAAGGACUGAAAUCAAGGAUGAAAUCAUGGCUGAACUCUCAAGCACAAACUCAGGUUAAAGCCUUGAUGGCUGUAUAUGUUAAUGCUAGAGCUAUUUUAUGCUUAAAUUAUAAGAUGCUGAAUGUGAUUACUAAAUAAAGUUGCAUUUCAGAACCUCAUAAGAGUUGGCUUGUCAAUUAGCAAAUUGACUCCCUAGUUGAAUUUGCUAUGGUGUGCGCUCUUCUUAAAUAAUUAAGAGUAUUGACUCUAAACCUGAAUUUGUCGGGCCGGGCCAUGACAUACAAUGUUGUAAAUGUAGGUAAAAAGUGUGUGCGCAA